CGGGGCGUAGCGCAGUUUGGUAGCGCACUUGGUUUGGGACCAAGGGGCCGCAGGUUCGAAUCCUGUCGCCCCGACCA
rnacentral:tRNA from 1 species